UACGUAGGGUGCAAGCGUUGUCCGGAAUUAUUGGGCGUAAAGAGCUUGUAGGCGGUUUGUCGCGUCUGCCGUGAAAAUUCGAGGCUCAACCUCGAACUUGCGGUGGGUACGGGCAGACUAGAGUGUGGUAGGGGAGACUGGAAUUCCUGGUGUAGCGGUGAAAUGCGCAGAUAUCAGGAGGAACACCGGUGGCGAAGGCGGGUCUCUGGGCCGAUACUGACGCUGAGGAGCGAAAGCAUGGGUAGCGAACAGG
rnacentral:rRNA from 1 species